rnacentral:tRNA from 1 species
CCGACCUUAGCUCAGUUGGUAGAGCGGAGGACUGUAGUUGAACGCAGAUGAUCCUUAGGUCGCUGGUUCGAAUCCGGCAGGUCGGA